rnacentral:tRNA from 1 species
AGGUGUGAGCCAGCAGGUGGGAUAUGAGCCUGCCUUGGGCGCAGGGGGUCGCUGGUUCGAAUCCAGUCGCCCCGACCA